ensembl:lncRNA
AAGACCUGGAGCUCUAGCAAUAAGCAGCAUAACAGAACAAGUGUGUUAUUUGGGACCGUCUGACACUCGUCCUUCACUGAGGAGACGUGAGAUCUUUCUGUUUGCCUUGGGCUGUGAUUUCCUGUGGGCAAUGAUGGAGGAACAGCACGGUCUAGAUAAACUCUACUUAACUUGCUUAUUGGGAUGGAGGUGGAUUGGCUUUGUCCUUUUUCCAGGAGUCAAGACUGAAGAAUUACAGAAAUACUGCAGUGUUAUCAAGUGGGCAGAGUUUUUACUGAACCUCACAUUUUAAACAGUGAUGAUAGAAUAUCCUGUCAGUGCAGUAGUGAUGAUUUGUGCCAAAAGUCUCAUUUUAAGAGUAAUGUUGGUGCAGGCAGGAAACAAAAUGAUGCAGCAUGUAUCUUCCUGGCAUUCAUACCUAGUGAGAACAGCUUUCACUGCCAGUGUUGCAAACGCAAAACAAUGUUCGUAGGGAGAUAUUCAUUGACACAGAACAGCCUUAUUGCAUAAGGUGUAGAGCAGAGGUGUGAU